CACGUAUGAUAGAGCUAGUCUUCCAUAUCAAGAUAGAUUUCCAAGGUGAUCUUUAUAGUUUGAUUUAAGCUCAAACAAACAAAGGUUUUAUGUGAAAACUUCCAUCCCAUUUCAUCGUUUAAUAACGUAUAUAAACACAAGGAUGCAUCAAUACAAUCUAUGACCAACAUAAAACAUAUGCGUUCAACUGUAUCAGUGGAUCAAACAGAACAAAGACAGACAAAUGUUUUGUUGUUAGCCGUCAUCGAACAGUAAAAAUAUAAGCAAUAAUAUUCCGAGCAAAAUAAAUGACAAAAUAACGUACGUACGAGAGCUAAAAUCAAAUCAAGUUGUCCCCUGUCCAAAACCUUGACAACCGAUCUAGCUAGAGUUGACAUUUCUUAGCUUAUAGCGGUAAUGAGUGUAGAUAAGAAUAUCUCUGGGUCUUGACGAUGCAUGUAGACACUGUAGAGGUGAUAUUGUCCAUGAAUAUAUAUAGAUAAGAAGAGAACACUGUUCAGCUUAGGGAACAAUAACCCUUUUUUUUUUAGAAACUUUAACGAAAAGCUCCUGGUAUUAUUCACUUGAAUGAAAAACCACAUUUUUACACUAAAAAGUCAAUCAUGAUAGUAUUCACUUUACCUUUUAUUUUGUCCUUAUCGUCAAAACUCAAAGUGUUCAAACCUUUUUUCAUUAGUUUUUUUUUUCCUGACAAGAUUCUGGAGUUCAGUUUCAGAUUUUAGCAAGGUCUUAAGAGGUGCUAAUCGAGUGGUGGACAUGAAUCUAGCACUUAGGCAUCUCCGCGGGCAGGGGCGGAGGCACUCUAAGGCCACCAUAGGCCAAGGCCUACCCUCACUAAAGAUCCCCCAACUAACCUUUCUAAAUAAUUAUGUAUUAUAUUUGGAUAAACUUAAUAUUAUACUUCUUUUAGUUUACACAAAACUCUUAAUUGCUAUUCACUAAUAGUUAAAAUAAGAAGUCUCUUUUUCUUUUCAAUCCCAACAACACUCGUCCUAAAAAUAAAUUUACAAUCUUAUUUUAUAAACAAAUCAAUAGCUCUUAAAAUUAAAAUCUAAAGUCUAGUUUAGUUUUAUCAAAAAAAUGUUCUUUUACAUUGCUAACUGAAGAAUAAUAAACUUUGAGUUUCUCCUUCUCCGCUUCUUGAAAUUUUAUAUAUUUUAUCUUUGCUCUCUUUAACUUUUUACUAAAUUUUUAAAAUUUCAUAUAUUUUGUUCACCAAAUUCCCAAUCCAUAAUUCUCAUUUUUUGUUCGGAAAUUCCCAAUCUAUUCUAUAUCGACUUGGAGUGAUGCUAUAGACUACUUGAGCCAUAUUUUGUGACCACAUGAUUGUAUAGUACUUAAUGGUUGGACUACUUCUUUAAAUCACCAAAGAAGGAAUCCAAUCAUCAACGGGGUCACAUUAGGUGGUUUCUAACAUAUGGUCUAAAAACAUAGUAUCCCUAGCAUUUUUCAUUGACUUGAGAAUGGAAGGUUAACUUCGACAUAGAAAAAACAUGUAGAGCCUAAAAAAUAAUUAGCUCACAACUCCAAGCAUGCAUUAUUUAAUUUUUUUUUCACAUUUAUGUGAGGCCCCUCCUCACCUAAAAU
rnacentral:lncRNA from 1 species